rnacentral:rRNA from 1 species
UACGUAGGGUGCAAGCGUUAAUCGGAAUUACUGGGCGUAAAGCGUGCGUAGGCGGCUAUGUAAGACAGAUGUGAAAUCCCUGGGCUUAACCUGGGGAACUGCAUUUGUGACUGCAUUGCUAGAGUGUGGUAGAGGGAGAUGGAAUUCCGCAUGUAGCAGUGAAAUGCGUAGAUAUGCUGGAGGAACACCAAUGGCGAAAGGCAAUCUCCUGGACCUGCACUGACGCUUAUGCACGAAAGCGUGGGGAGCAAACAGG